AAGGAGACUGAUUGGAAUGAAAAGGCAAUAUUAAUAUGCAUUGCCAUUAUCAGAGUCUAUCCCAGAGGCUGGUGUGAGUGAUGAUGCAACAACAAUUUUGGGUGAUUAAUGAAAAAAUUCACAGAUAGCCAGUUCAUCUCUAGCCAGGGUAGUAAUGAAAAUGUGAUCGCAACAGAAUGGAAAAAUCAAUGAAAGAACAGCUGAAACUGUAAUGAAAGAGACAAUAUAUCUUUUCAAUAAAUUAUGGGAGAAAGACAAAUUAAUAA
rnacentral:lncRNA from 1 species